rnacentral:rRNA from 1 species
GACGAACGCUGGCGGCGUGCUUAACACAUGCAAGUCGAACGGUGAACCAGGAGCUUGCUCUUGGGGAUCAGUGGCGAACGGGUGAGUAACACGUGGGCAACCUGCCCCAGACUCUGGGAUAACUUCGGGAAACCGAAGCUAAUACCGGAUACGACCUUCUUAGGCAUCUUCGAAGGUGGAAAGUUUUUCGGUCUGGGAUGGGCCCGCGGCCUAUCAGCUUGUUGGUGGGGUAAUGGCCUACCAAGGCGACGACGGGUAGCCGGCCUGAGAGGGCGACCGGCCACACUGGGACUGAGACACGGCCCAGACUCCUACGGGAGGCAGCAGUGGGGAAUAUUGCGCAAUGGGCGAAAGCCUGACGCAGCGACGCCGCGUGAGGGAUGACGGCCUUCGGGUUGUAAACCUCUUUCAGCAGGGACGAAGCGAAAGUGACUGUACCUGCAGAAGAAGCACCGGCUAACUACGUGCCAGCCGCCGCAGUAAGAC